GGGCAAGAAGCUCCGUUGGUUAGAGCCUUAGCUUGGCAUGCUAGAGGUCACUGGUUCGAAUCCAGUAUUGCCCACUA
rnacentral:tRNA from 1 species